rnacentral:ncRNA from 1 species
UACCUGGUUGAUUCUGCCAGUAGUCAUAUGCUUGUCUCAAAGAUUAAGCCAUGCAUGUCUAAGUAUAAGCAAUUUAUACCGUGAAACUGCGAAUGGCUCAUUAAAUCAGUUAUCGUUUAUUUGAUAGUACCUUACUACUUGGAUAACCGUGGUAAUUCUAGAGCUAAUACAUGCUAAAAGCCCCGACUU